GCCCCAAACUCAAUCUCUAGAUCGGGAUCUGGCGUUACAUCUGAGGCCGCCUAGCACGAACACCACAGCCAGAGGGCAGGCCGCCGCCGUUGUCCUGCUCGUCACCCGCCCCCGCCUCUCGUCCCCUACCACCGCUGCUUGCCGCUAUCCUGCACACCCAUCGGUCGAAGCAGAUUGCUGCCGGCCAGCGCCGAUGGUCAGCCUCCGCCGUGUGCCCCGCCUCGCCAUCUUCCCCGUCAAUCGCGAGCCCACCUCCCCAUGCGGAUAACCCUAGCAUCCUCGUUGUCGUGCCCGCCUUCCCCACCGACGAGAGACGCAAGACCUCUACCGCCACUGAUGACAUCUAGCACCUCCUUUUCUGAUGUCGUGAGGUGUGAAGUCCUCCAUGCCGUGGCCAUCCUAAUCGAGAUUUCAGACCCCAACUCUAGCAGCCGGUGCUGGAGAGAAAAAGAGGUGAGCAGGCUCUGCAGCAUACGGGGUGGCACCUUUGACAUCGCCAUCGGAUUCUCUCCUUCUGCUGCUUCGAUCCUGGGGCAGAUGCGAAGCGAGGACGGCGGAGGGAGGGCGGUGGAGGAGGAGGAGGGGGUCAAAGACCUCGAGCGGGGGCAUGGACUUGGCAGUGGAAGCGAGGCAGAACGCGGAGGGUGGGUUGACGAUGGAGCAGGAGGGGUUAAAUACCUCGCGCAAGCCCCGGGGGUUGUGCGGCGGCUGCUGCUUCGGCCGCUGAGGUUCGUCAUGGCUGCCUCCUCCUGCACCUGCACACCCACCAUCACCACCACUUAACUAGAUGGAGGUUACAUAGUAAUAUGCUCGUCUGCACCUUACUAACGAGGAGAGGUGGUGGCUGCCAACACUAUGUGUGACCAAACUCGGGCUAACGGAGUUGGCCCGAAGAGACCUGCGGCAAAAGAAUGACUGCGCAAACCAGAUCUAGAUGGCGAUUCCGGAGUCAUACACGCGGAUACUUCCCAAGUUUGGGCGGGCUGGGGUGGGCGACACAAUCUACAGGCACGUGUUGUUCCUGACAAAGUUCUUGUGGGAGUACCUGCUCAACAGCCUAGAGAUAUUGUCAUAGCACCUAGGCCCUGGAGGUCCCCGUGGAGCAACGUCAAUAACCUAAUAGGGUUGGACAAGACUUGACGGUGGUGAGUAGGGCUGAUGACAUCCUAUUCUGCCUUGAACAGCGGUUUCAUGGCCUCUCACAUACCACGCUUGACGCAAGCAAGAUACAAUACAAAUAAGAAUAGAAGGAGUUGAUGGGCAUGGUAUGAUCAGCGACACAAAGAGGAAUAUGCAUGCCAAUGCUUCCCUUGCCCGCUAUAGCCCCGCUAUAGCCUUUCCCGCACGAUGUGCCCGGCUAAAGGUGCCAAAGUCCUUAAAUAGCCGACUAUAGUCAGGCUAUAGCCGGGCUAUAGCUGUUUUGGUAGGCCACAGCUAUAACCUACGGCCGGCUAUUUAAAACCAUGCAAAAUAUAGCCAAAUUAAGGCUAAUGGAUGGUGGUGAGUAGGGCUGAUGACAUCAUGUUCUGCCUUGAGCAGCGGUUUCAUGGCCUCUCACAGACCACGCUAUACGCAAGCAAGAUACAAUACAAUAAGAAUAGAAGGAGUUGAUGGGCAUGGUAUGAUCAGCGACACAAAGAGGAAUAUGCAUGCCAAUGCUUCCCUUGGUUUACUACGACUCGCGCAUGACGCAGUGUGGUGCUGGCGAGGAGGACCAAGCAAGAAGUGGACUAUCAACCUUCGAGUUUCCUGUCAUCCUUGACAUCGAGAAGAUGUCACCCCAAGCCGUCUCUGCACUACAAGUGUACCAAUGAUCUUAUUGUGGCUAGGUGCUGAUCAAAAUGUACGGAGGGAUGUUUGGCUGGUUAUUUCAACAUGCAAUAGUUGGAGAGAUUUCGUCGGCAAUUACAUGAGGCGCCGAACAUCAUGAAUCUCAUUUCAGAUUUUCAGUCAUCUAAGCAUGACCAAAAGACUAGAUCGAUUUCCUUUGUACUAAAGGAGCCUCAUUCAAGGUCAAGAGCUAGCCAUGUGAUUCCAUCUAUCAUGCAAGCAAAGCAGCUAGAUCCAUAAUCAUGUAUGGUACAAGAUACCUGAUGGCUAGCUAAAGAUCACCUGAUGGAAUAAAGAGUUCCAACAUUAAAUAAACUGUGACUUACAUAUAGAUAAGUGGAGUGCUUUUGCAUUUUAUAUGUCCAUGCAGCUAUUUGCUUCAGUACAGUAUAAUAUUGUUUUCUGUAAAUAUUCACAAGUAGCACUCUUUUUUGUUUACCGCCCUAACCAUGCAUAUAUUAAUUACCCACUCUAACCCCAUCUUGUAAUACAGCGUAGAAGUUCUGAACCUUCUAUUUGGUGAAGAUUAGUUUAGCGCUGAGAUAUAACAUGUAUUUACCAAA